CACAAGCGGUGGAGCAUGUGGUUUAAUUCGACGCUACGCGAAGAACCUUACCCGGGCUUGAACUGCUGGUGGUAGAAGCCCGAAAGGGUAACGACCCGGAGCAAUCCGGGAGCCAGUAGAGGUGCUGCAUGGCUGUCGCCAGCUCGUGUCGUGAGAUGUUGGGUUAAGUCCCGCAACGAGCGCAACCCUUACCCUUAGUUGCCAGCGGGUAAUGCCGGGCACUCUAAGGGGACCGCCCCGGAUAACGGGGAGGAAGGCGGGGAUGACGUCAAGUCAGCAUGGCCUUUAUGUCCAGGGCUACACACGUGCUACAAUGGGCGAUACAGAGGGAAGCAAGGCCGCAAGGUAGAGCUAAUCCCUAAAGUCGUCCUCAGUUCGGAUUGCAGGCUGCAACUCGCCUGCAUGAAGUCGGAAUCGCUAGUAAUCGCGGAUCAGCUACGCCGCGGUGAAUACGUUCUCGGGCCUU
rnacentral:rRNA from 1 species